UACGUAGGGUGCAAGCGUUAAUCGGAAUUACUGGGCGUAAAGCGUGCGCAGGCGGUUUUGUAAGUCUGUCGUGAAAUCCCCGGGCUCAACCUGGGAAUUGCGAUGGAGACUGCAAGGCUAGAAUCUGGCAGAGGGGGGUAGAAUUCACGUGUAGCAGUGAAAUGCGUAGAGAUGUGGAGGAACACCGAUGGCGAAGGCAGCCCCCUGGGUCAAGAUUGACGCUACAUGCACGAAAGGCGUGGGGAGCAAACGAGG
rnacentral:rRNA from 1 species